CGGUAGUCAUUCCUAGUCGUCUCCCAUGUUCUGUCCAGCCUAACGU
rnacentral:sRNA from 1 species